rnacentral:rRNA from 1 species
UGGGGAAUUUUGGACAAUGGGGGCAACCCUGAUCCAGCCAUGCCGCGUGCGGGAAGAAGGCCUUCGGGUUGUAAACCGCUUUUGUCGGGGAAGAAACGGUCUGCGCUAAUACCGCGGGCUAAUGACGGUACCCGAAGAAUAAGCACCGGCUAACUACGUGCCAGCAGCCGCGGUAAUACGUAGGGUGCAAGCGUUAAUCGGAAUUACUGGGCGUAAAGCGUGCGCAGGCGGCUUUGCAAGACAGAUGUGAAAUCCCCGGGCUCAACCUGGGAACUGCAUUUGUGACUGCAUGGCUGGAGUGCGGCAGAGGGGGAUGGAAUUCCGCGUGUAGCAGUGAAAUGCGUAGAUAUGCGGAGGAACACCGAUGGCGAAGGCAAUCCCCUGGGCCUGCACUGACGCU